AACUCUUCAGAUAUACUUAUUUGGCCUCAUAACAAUGGCAAAUUUAGUGCCACAUCCGCAUGGAAUCAAAUUAGGCAAAGAAAUAACAAGUGGACAUUGGAUCGACCGGGAUCACAAAGACAUUCCUUAUGUACAUGGCAGGCCCUUCUCAAUAAACUACCUACAAUAGACAAUAUGAAAAGAAGAGGUAUCUAUCAUGUUAACCGAUGCUCCCUUUGUUUGCAACAAGAAGAAACUGUUAACCACCUUUAUUUUGCUUGUGAUUAUACAAAAUGGAUAUGGAAGGAGAUUCUCCAGCGAUUUGAACUCAAUAGACUGCCGCAACUAAACUUGCACCAAGAACUAGGCGACCUUAUGCAAUGUUUCUCAAGAAAAGGGCCUCUCACACAACUGGCAAAGGUUA
rnacentral:lncRNA from 1 species